UUUUUUAAUUGAAAGCUGGAAUGAAUGGUUGAAUGAAAUAUAAACUGUUUCAUAUAAAUUUUAAUAGAAUUUUAUUUUUUAGUAAAAAAGCUAAAAUUAAAUUAAAAGACGAGAAGACCCUAUAAAGUUUUAUAUAAUUUAAAAUAUAAUUAAUAAAGUAGUAUUAAAUUUUUAUUUUAAAAUUGUAUUUUAUUGGGGUGAUAAUAAAAUUUAAUAAACUUUUAUUUAUUUUUUACAUUGAUUUAUGAAUUUAUGAUCCAAUUAUAUUGAUUAAAAAUUUAAAUUACUUUAGGGAUAACAGCGUAAUUUUUUUUAAAAGUUCAUAUUUAUAAAAAAGUUUGC
rnacentral:rRNA from 1 species